rnacentral:rRNA from 1 species
UCGGGGGUAGAGCACUGUUUCGGCUAGGGGGUCAUCCCGACUUACCAACCCGAUGCAAACUACGAAUACCGAAGAAUGUUAUCACGGGAGACACACGGCGGGUGCUAACGUCCGUCGUGAAGAGGGAAACAACCCAGACCGCCAGCUAAGGUCCCAAAGUCAUGGUUAAGUGGGAAACGAUGUGGGAAGGCACAGACAGCCAGGAUGUUGGCUUAGAAGCAGCCAUCAUUUAAAGAAAGCGUAAUAGCUCACUGGUCGAGUCGGCCUGCGCGGAAGAUGUAACGGGGCUAAACCAUGCACCGAAGCUGCGGCAGCGACACUAUGUGUUGUUGGGUAGGGGAGCGUUCUGUAAGCCUGCGAAGGUGUGCUGUGAGGCAUGCUGGAGGUAUCAGAAGUGCGAAUGCUGACAUAAGUAACGAUAAAGCGGGUGAAAAGCCCGCUCGCCGGAAGACCAAGGGUUCCUGUCCAACGUUAAUCGGGGCAGGGUGAGUCGACCCCUAAGGCGAGGCCGAAAGGCGUAGUCGAUGGGAAACAGGUUAAUAUUCCUGUACUUGGUGUUACUGCGAAGGGGGGACGGAGAAGGCUAUGUUAGCCGGGCGACGGUUGUC